UUUCUGUGAUUUAAUAGACCAAAUAUUGCAUAGUUUAGAAUGCACAAAUGGACAGUAUGGUUGCAACAGAUGUUGUUGUAUAAUGGCAUUUGAGAAACAUUACCAAAAACAUGUUUUUCAUGUCUUAAUUGUCCUCCCUGUCUUUUACAUUAACUCUGUUUGUUUGUUUGUUUUUACAGUGCUUUGAGGAAGUACUGCUUCUCUUUGUGCCUAACAAAUAUAAUUCCCAGGCAGGAAGAGCAGUAGGAUCAGAGGGUGCUGUUCCUGGUGGUGGUGUUUCUGUGGCUCCCAGCUUUGCAAAUAGUGAGUGCAACAUCCACAGUCACGUGGCAAAGACUAAAACGCAGUCAUCCAUCUUCAUUUCAUUUUAAUACUGUUUUCUCUUCAUGUAUAAAAUGAGGAGAAGGAGGAACAAAGCUAUGUCUCGUUCCAUCAUCUUUAUUCUCUAGCAAACCCGUAAUCAGCGGAUUUGUCACAAAACUUCUGGGAAAGGAAACCUUUUAAUAUGCAGAUGACUGGAUGUGGUCCAGAACAGGGAAUAGCUCAUGCAGCCUGUCUUUGCUUUUGUUCUCAUUCAGAUUUUCACCCUAGACAAACACAGCAAUGACAUUUCUGAGAAGCGUGCGUCGUUCCCAUUGUGGCUGUGCUGAGAGACGCACCUGCUCCUGUGCGCGCUGCCAGCCACAGGACUUGUGUGGAUGCUUGGCAGCACAGUCAUGGUCCAGGGACUUCUCCUGUCCCUUUCCCCAUCCCUUCGCUUUACCCUACCUAAUGAGGGAUGAAGUGCCAUCUGAUCCUCAGAGCAACCAGAGCAGACAUCCAGACAUCUUAUUCUCCAGCGUGGAUUUAACUGAGGAUGUCCUUGAGACAUAACGGUGAUCACAGUGUUGUUGUGAUUUUCCUAGCAGCAAAUAGCUAGGUAUAUGGAUUUUUCAUUAAGGUUAGGAUUGCAACAACGAUAGAGAGAUGACACGGAAAUAAUUAAAAACUCAUUUUCCUAAUCUGGCUAAGUGAUCUGACUGAUACAUUACUCACUAUCCGUGCUACUGGAUGCAGAAAAAAAAACAACUAUGCACAUAUGGGAAGCUUUUUCUGUACCAGUCUUUAGAUAAAAUAACCCAAUUUGUUUGCUCUUUUUCAUUAGAGAAGAUGACAUUCAACAGCAGUGAAAGCAAGAAUUAUUAAAGAAAGUUUUUCUUAUAACCAGCCUGAAGAAUGUAUUGUUAAGAAGCAAGGUGACAACGGCACUCUGAGCUGCAAGAAGACACUUGGUACAGCCACUUGCUGGAGAAGUUGUGUCUUUCCAGGUACAUUUUUUACUUUUUGGUCGCAUGAUUAGAUGACCCUAUUUCCCCUUCUAUUAUCAAACCCUCUGUUACCCUUCCCUGGACCCGAAAUGGAUGGCACAUCUCCCCAGUCCUUCAAACUACUAAUGCUUCUCUCAACUUCCUUUCUCCAGUCCUCAGCUUUCGUUCGUGUGGAAGCUGAAAUCACAGUCUCUGGCAGAGAUACCUAGACAUGAAAAUUCAUGUGUAAAGAUGAAGAAGGCUGGGAGCAUCAUGGCUACAGGUAUGACAUAAGGAUUUAGACCAAAAAAAUAAAAGACAGGAGGGACUCCUUCCCAGUUGUGAAAGUGCCUGAUGAAAGACUUAUUUCCCACCUGCGGCUGCUAAAAGAGAAGCCACGACCCAGCGUUAGUACCAGGGCUGUCUCCAUCGCACAGUGGGUACACGCUGUCCCAUGCCUGUCUGCCCAGAGGAAUGUCAUCAGCCAUUGCCCAACACUCAAUUAGUGUUUUAAACCAGAAUUUCUUCUAUCCGCAUUCCUGAAGUGUUCAUAGUCAUGAUAUACAAUGAUGCUUUGCGUUAAAAAAAAAGUGUGCAUGUAGGAGUAAGUGAGCUGAAACUGCUUAGAAUGGCCGGCUGGCUCCGCUGUGUUCCCCACCAUAGUCAUCGCCCCAUGCAGGGAAGUCAGCCAUCAGAUUGUCUUUCGCUCCAAUGCUUAUGGGAAUGUUUUAUUUCUAUCCUAUAGCACUCAGGUAUGGCUUUUCUAUGUCCUCUGUAACAGACUUUACAGAAUUCACAGAACUUACACAUUUUUCUAAGCCCGUGCCAGAAGGUGUUGCGUUUCCACACAACAGAGCACAGUCCUGUGUCUUUCUGCUUUAAGAUGUUGCUCUUUAGUAAUCAAUUAAUAAUUUCAUGCUAGCAUGGUUACUGUAUCUUUUCUGAGUUCAUUUACAAGCUGGACUAUUACCAUGGUAAAAGUUAAACAGUUCACUGUAAACUGCUUCACCCGCAGAUCAGUUUUAUUUUUCUCAAUUAAUCUUGUGUGCAGGGCCAUCCGGAUGGCUUUCCUUCCUUGUUUGCUGCUGAUACACUGUACUGUUUUACAAGCUAACUCCUCUCAUUAAUUCUGCCUCAUUGUUUUUGCCAGCGUGACUUGCUAGAAUGCAGACAGUGCCAAAGUUUGCAAAAAAAUUUCCAUGCGGCUGAGGGGUAUUCUGCAGGGAGGAGAAGGAGGAGACGUGACAGAAGUCACCUUUUAUUAGUGCUAGUGUCUUGACUCCAACGUAAGGAAACGGUGCAGUAAGUGACAGCUUCUUUAGUUUCUGUUUUUUCUGCAAGAGCAGCUCCUUUGUCAGCCAAAGUGAGUUUCAGGGAAAUUUAUGGAAACUUGUUAACUCUUGGGGUGCUAGAAAUAUCCUGUGAGGUGCAUAAAAAACCUUUCUCUACUGAGGUUUUGCACUGCAGUAGAUGUCCUGUGUGUUUACAUAUGCCACACGUCUAAUACACCAGCCCUUUUCUUCAGGCAUCGAAUCAGCCCUUCAAGAGAGAUUUCGAUGGAGCAUCCUCCAUGGCGCAAGUUGAUCAUCUGUGCAGGGUGGAUCCUUCAAACUUGUUCAUGGUCGGAUAGGAGCCUUGGUGGGUUGGGUGGGAGGCCUCCUCCUAAUCCCACUGAAGUCAGAGGAAAGACUCCCAUUAACAGGCUUUGGAUCAGUGCCUGUGGGAAGCUCUUUUAUAAAUCCCAGCUUGCCUCGAGCAGCCUAAUGCCUACAGCUCUAACUAGCAGGACAUGCUGUAAUAUAAAGCCAUUCUGUACUUCAGUUUUUCUAGGAUUACUUGGAGGAAUAAGGUGGCCCUGUUGAGCUAAAAGUUGGGGUCUUGGAGACUGGGAGAAGAAACUGAUGUUUUGUCCAGUACUUAUUACAACUCUCUUGCUUCUAGCACCAAAAUCUUUUUGCAACAUCAUCUCUCAGUCUUUUAACAAAUGCAGUCUUAUGCCCGUCCACAAUACUGCCAUUGUUUGACCACGUAGCACUCUCUUGUACAGUCUGCUUACUUUCUCUUCCAAUAUAAAUUAGUUCCUCACUCACAGCAUCUACCAUGACUAUUUCCCUACUUAACACCUUCUAUUCAGACUCUAUUUGUGCUGAAUAUUUAUACUUACAGUCUAAGCUUCUGGGGAAGAGACCAUUUUGUGCUCUGUGUUUAUGCAUCAGUUGUCUCCUGGCCCAACAUAAUGACAACAACAACAACAAUAAUAAUAAAAUAAACCAUGUUGCUCCCAGUGUUCUGCUCUUCUGCCCACCUCCUCCUCUACCCAGUACUGUCCCAGGUGGUUUUCCAGCUGCAAAAGAGCUAAUGGGAUGGCUGUUCCCAGCACCAUAUAUCCCAAAGAAAUUAUUAAUUUGAAGGUUUCAAAAGGGUAAGGGAAGUUGCCAACAGAAGGGGAAGGGCCUGAAAUGGUGUAACUGGCCAUUUCUUUCCUGGCUGAAGCCUACAACAGGUUGAGCCACCCAGUUUAGGUCUGGGGGCAGGUAUUCAGGUUUCUUGAGGGGAAGGAGGCUAAGAUCUGCAGAGCUGUCCCUGUGCGUGUGGGCAGCUUGUUUUGAACAGUCGAGUAUUUUCCAAGAA